rnacentral:rRNA from 1 species
CGGAUUAAUAAGUCAGUGGUGAAAUCCCAUCGCUUAACGAUGGAACUGCCAUUGAUACUGUUAGUCUUGAAUGAGGGUGCAGUGAUUGGAAUGUGUAGUGUAGCGGUGAAAUGCAUAGAUAUUACACAGAACACCGAUUGCGAAGGCAGAUCACUAACCCUAAAUUGACGCUGAGGGACGAAAGCGUGGGGAGCAAACAGGAUUAGAUACCCUGGUAG